rnacentral:rRNA from 1 species
CAGUCGCCACGGUAAUACGUAGGGUGCAAGCGUUAAUCGGAAUUACUGGGCGUAAAGCGUGCGCAGGCGGUUAUAUAAGUCAGAUGUGAAAUCCCCGGGCUCAACCUGGGAACUGCAUUUGAGACUGUAUGGCUAGAGUGUGUCAGAGGGGGGUAGAAUUCCGCGUGUAGCAGUGAAAUGCGUAGAUAUGCGGAGGAACACCGAUGGCGAAGGCAAUCCCCUGGACCUGUACUGACGCUCAUGCACGAAAGCGUGGGGAGCAAACAGGAUUAGAUACCCCCGUAGUCCCUGUCUCUUAUAC